rnacentral:rRNA from 1 species
AUACGGAGGGUGCAAGCGUUAUUCGGAAUCACUGGGCGUAAAGGACGCGUAGGCGGGUUGGCAAGUCAGAUGUGAAAUCCUACAGCUUAACUGUAGAACUGCAUUUAAAACUGCUAACCUAGAGUAUGGGAGGGGGAGAUGGAAUUAGUGGUGUAGGGGUAAAAUCCGUAGAUAUCACUAGGAAUACCGAAAGCGAAGGCGAUCUCCUGGAACAUAACUGACGCUAAGGCGUGAAAGCGUGGGGAGCAAACAGGAUUAGAUACCCUAGUAGUCC